UCGGGAAUAUUGCGCAAUGGAGGAAACUCUGACGCAGUGACGCCGCGUGCAGGAAGAAGGUUUUCGGAUUGUAAACUGCUUUAGACAGGGAAGAACAAAGACAGUACCUGUAGAAUAAGCUCCGGCUAACUACGUGCCAGCAGCCGCGGUAAUACGUAGGGAGCGAGUGUUAUCCGGAUUUAUUGGGUGUAAAGGGUGCGUAGACGGGAAGUCAAGUUAGUUGUGAAAUCCCUCGGCUUAACUGAGGAACUGCAACUAAAACUGAUUUUCUUGAGUACUGGAGAGGAAAGUGGAAUUCCUAGUGUAGCGGUGAAAUGCGUAGAUAUUAGGAGGAACACCGGUGGCGAAGGCGACUUUCUGGACAGAAACUGACGUUGAGGCACGAAAGUGUGGGGAGCAAACA
rnacentral:rRNA from 1 species